UACGUAGGGGGCAAGCGUUAUCCGGAUUUACUGGGUGUAAAGGGCGCGUAGGCGGGUGCCUAAGUCAGUGGUGAAAUACCGGGGCUCAACUCCGGGGCUGCCAUUGAAACUGGGUAUCUUGAGUGCGGGAGAGGAAAGCGGAAUUCCUAGUGUAGCGGUGAAAUGCGUAGAUAUUAGGAGGAACACCGGUGGCGAAGGCGGCUUUCUGGACCGUAACUGACGCUGAGGCGCGAAAGCGUGGGGAGCAAAC
rnacentral:rRNA from 1 species